CCACGGGAGGCAGCAGUGGGGAAUAUUGGACAAUGGGCGAAAGCCUGAUCCAGCCAUGCCGCGUGUGUGAAGAAGGCCUUCGGGUUGUAAAGCACUUUCAGUGGGGAAGAAAGCCUUGGGGCUAAUACCCUCGAGGAAGGACAUCACCCACAGAAGAAGCACCGGCUAACUCCGUGCCAGCAGCCGCGGUAAUACGGAGGGUGCGAGCGUUAAUCGGAAUUACUGGGCGUAAAGCGCGCGUAGGCGGUCUGAUAAGCCGGUUGUGAAAGCCCCGGGCUCAACCUGGGAACGGCAUCCGGAACUGUCAGGCUAGAGUGCAGGAGAGGAAGGUAGAAUUCCCGGUGUAGCGGUGAAAUGCGUAGAGAUCGGGAGGAAUACCAGUGGCGAAGGCGGCCUUCUGGACUGACACUGACGCUGAGGUGCGAAAGCGUGGGUAGCAAACAGGAUUAGAUACCCCGGUAGUC
rnacentral:rRNA from 1 species